rnacentral:rRNA from 1 species
CAAUAGCGUAUAUUAAAGUUGUUGCGGUUAAAAAGCUCGUAGUUGGAUUUCUGCCGAGGACGACCGGUCCGCCCUCCGGGUGAGCAUCUGGCUCGGCCUAGGCAUCUUCUUGGGGAGCGUAUCUGCACUUCAUUGUGUGGUGCGGUAUCCAAGACUUUUACUUUGAGGAAAUUAGAGUGUUUCAAGCAGGCCCACGCCUUGAAUACAUUAGCAUGGAAUAAUAAGGUAGGACCUCGGUUCUAUUUUGUUGGUUUCUAGAAUUGAGGUAAUGAUUAAUAGGGAUAGUUGGGGGCAUUCGUAUUUAACUGUCAGAGGUGAAAUUCUUGGAUUUGUUAAGGACGGACUACUGCGAAAGCAUUUGCCAAGGAUGUUUUCAUUGA